rnacentral:rRNA from 1 species
AGAGUUUGAUCAUGGCUCAGAUUGAACGCUGGCGGCAGGCCUAACACAUGCAAGUCGAACGGUAACAGGAAGCAGCUUGCUGCUUCGCUGACGAGUGGCGGACGGGUGAGUAAUGUCUGGGAAGCUGCCUGAUGGAGGGGGAUAACUACUGGAAACGGUAGCUAAUACCGCAUAAUGUCGCAAGACCAAAGAGGGGGACCUUCGGGCCUCUUGCCAUCGGAUGUGCCCAGAUGGGAUUAGCUUGUUGGUGGGGUAACGGCUCACCAAGGCGACGAUCCCUAGCUGGUCUGAGAGGAUGACCAGCCACACUGGAACUGAGACACGGUCCAGACUCCUACGGGAGGCAGCAGUGGGGAAUAUUGCACAAUGGGCGCAAGCCUGAUGCAGCCAUGCCGCGUGUAUGAAGAAGGCCUUCGGGUUGUAAAGUACUUUCAGCGGGGAGGAAGGGAGUAAAGUUAAUACCUUUGCUCAUUGACGUUACCCGCAGAAGAAGCACCGGCUAACUCCGUGCCAGCAGCCGCGGUAAUACGGAGGGUGCAAGCGUUAAUCGGAAUUACUGGGCGUAAAGCGCACGCAGGCGGUUUGUUAAGUCAGAUGUGAAAUCCCCGGGCUCAACCUGGGAACUGCAUCUGAUACUGGCAAGCUGAGUCUCGUAGAGGGGGGUAGAAUUCCAGGUGUAGCGGUGAAAUGCGUAGAGAUCUGGAGGAAUACCGGUGGCGAAGGCGGCCCCCUGGACGAAGACUGACGCUCAGGUGCGAAAGCGUGGGGAGCAAACAGGAUUAGAUACCCUGGUAGUCCACGCCGUAAACGAUGUCGACUUGGAGGUUGUGCCCUUGAGGCGUGGCUUCCGGAGCUAACGCGUUAAGUCGACCGCCUGGGGAGUACGGCCGCAAGGUUAAAACUCAAAUGAAUUGACGGGGGCCCGCACAAGCGGUGGAGCAUGUGGUUUAAUUCGAUGCAACGCGAAGAACCUUACCUGGUCUUGACAUCCACGGAAGUUUUCAGAGAUGAGAAUGUGCCUUCGGGAACCGUGAGACAGGUGCUGCAUGGCUGUCGUCAGCUCGUGUUGUGAAAUGUUGGGUUAAGUCCCGCAACGAGCGCAACCCUUAUCCUUUGUUGCCAGCGGUCCGGCCGGGAACUCAAAGGAGACUGCCAGUGAUAAACUGGAGGAAGGUGGGGAUGACGUCAAGUCAUCAUGGCCCUUACGACCAGGGCUACACACGUGCUACAAUGGCGCAUACAAAGAGAAGCGACCUCGCGAGAGCAAGCGGACCUCAUAAAGUGCGUCGUAGUCCGGAUUGGAGUCUGCAACUCGACUCCAUGAAGUCGGAAUCGCUAGUAAUCGUGGAUCAGAAUGCCACGGUGAAUACGUUCCCGGGCCUUGUACACACCGCCCGUCACACCAUGGGAGUGGGUUGCAAAAGAAGUAGGUAGCUUAACCUUCGGGAGGGCGCUUACCACUUUGUGAUUCAUGACUGGGGUGAAGUCGUAACAAGGUA